rnacentral:rRNA from 1 species
GAAGGCGGCCCCCUGGACAAAGACUGACGCUCAGGUGCGAAAGCGUGGGGAGCAAACAGGAUUAGAUANNNGGUANNNACGCUGUAAACGAUGUCGACUUGGAGGUUGUGCCCUUGAGGCGUGGCUUCCGGAGCUAACGCGUUAAGUCGACCGCCUGGGGAGUACGGCCGCAAGGUUAAAACUCAAAUGAAUUGACGGGGGCCCGCACAAGCGGUGGAGCAUGUGGUUUAAUUCGAUGCAACGCGAAGAACCUUACCUACUCUUGACAUCCACGGAACUUGCCAGAGAUGGCUUGGUGCCUUCGGGAACCGUGAGACAGGUGCUGCAUGGCUGUCGUCAGCUCGUGUUGUGAAAUGUUGGGUUAAGUCCCGCAACGAGCGCAACCCUUAUCCUUUGUUGCCAGCACUUCGGGUGGGAACUCAAAGGAGACUGCCGGUGAUAAACCGGAGGAAGGUGGGGAUGACGUCAAGUCAUCAUGGCCCUUACGAGUAGGGCUACACACGUGCUACAAUGGCGUAUACAAAGAGAAGCAAACUCGCGAGAGCCAGCGGACCUCAUAAAGUACGUCGUAGUCCGGAUUGGAGUCUGCAACUCGACUCCAUGAAGUCGGAAUCGCUAGUAAUCGUAGAUCAGAAUGCUACGGUGAAUACGUUCCCGGGCCUUGUACACACCGCCCGUCACACCAUGGGAGUGGGUUGCAAAAGAAGUAGGUAGCUUAACCUUCGGGAGGGCGCUUACCACUUUGUGAUUCAUGACUGGGGUG